rnacentral:tRNA from 1 species
GUCCCCAUCGUCUAGCCCGGUCUAGGACACAAGAUUCUCAUUCUUGUAACAGGGGUUCGAAUCCCCUUGGGGACGCCA